rnacentral:tRNA from 84 species
CGGCAUAUAGCGCAGCUUGGUAGCGCACUGUCAUGGGGUGUCAGGGGUCGCAGGUUCAAAUCCUGCUAUGCCGACCA